AGUAGCACCCCCUAUUGUCUUAUUAAAUCUCUGUGGACAAACCAAAAAUUAAAACUUAUUUCCUCGCUGUGUGUUCAUCUUUUUAAAACCUUAAGCUAACUGAAAUGUCUCCUCUGCCUUCAUUAGUUUCUUCAGGAGCUGUUCAUCACUAUAUGUAACAAAUCAGCUGUGUUCACCAUCUAAAACAUGCAGGAAACGUGCUGGAAGCAGACUGCAGAGGCAGCUACCAUGACUGUAGUGAUUGGGUUUGAAGGCAGUGCCAAUAAGAUAGGUGUUGGCAUCAUAAGGGAUGGCGAAGUGCUUUCCAACCCAAGGCGUACCUAUAUAACACCACCUGGUCAAGGGUUCAUGCCGAGUGACACAGCCAGGCACCAUCGUGCAGUCAUCCUGACUGUCCUGAAGGAGGCGCUGGAGGAGGCGGGGCUGAAGCCUGCAGACAUCGACUGUGUGGCGUACACCAAAGGUCCUGGAAUGGGAGCCCCCUUGGUAACCGUAGCAAUAGUGGCACGAACAGUCGCACAGCUUUGGGGCAAGCCGCUGCUUGGCGUCAACCACUGCAUCGGACACAUAGAGAUGGGCCGACUCAUCACCAAGGCCAGCAACCCCACGGUGCUUUAUGUUAGCGGGGGCAACACACAGGUCAUUGCCUACUCAGAGCGGCGGUACAGAAUAUUUGGGGAGACUAUUGACAUUGCAGUCGGCAACUGUUUGGACAGGUUUGCCAGAGUCAUUAAGAUUUCUAAUGAUCCCAGUCCAGGUUAUAACAUAGAGCAGAUGGCCAAAACAGGGACUCAGUAUGUGGAGCUGCCUUAUACAGUCAAAGGAAUGGACGUGUCAUUCUCUGGAAUUUUGUCCUACAUUGAGGAAGCAGCAAAUAAAAUGUUGAGCUCGGGUCAGUGUACAGCAGCGGACUUGUGUUUCUCCCUUCAGGAGACGGUAUUUGCCAUGCUGGUGGAGAUCACAGAGAGGGCCAUGGCUCACUGCAGCUCACAGGAGGUCCUGAUCGUGGGAGGUGUUGGCUGUAACCUUCGUCUGCAGGAGAUGAUGGGGGUGAUGUGUGAGGAGAGAGGAGCCAAGCUGUUUGCCACAGAUGAUCGAUUCUGCAUUGAUAACGGAGCAAUGAUCGCUCAAGCUGGGUGGGAGAUGUUCCAGUCUGGUCAGGUCACAGAGCUAGAAGACUCGUGGAUCACUCAAAGAUGGUAUUUCAAUGAUCCAUCCAUUUUCAUCCGCUUAUCCGGAGUCGGGUCGCGGGGGCAGUAGCCUAAGGCGAUUGGCCCAGACUUCCCUCUCCCCAGCAACUUGGACCAGCUCCUCCGGGGGAAUCCCAAGGCGCUCCCUGGCCAGGUACAGAACAGAUGAAGUGGAGGUGACGUGGAGAGACUGAUGGUGUUGGGUGUAACAUCACCAGACUGAUGGGAGAAUCUUACAUGGUUAAUUUGUUGCAGGACUAGACGAUCUUAGUAAAUAUUCAUAUUUCAGAAGUUAAUUUUAUAAGUCUAUAUUUUUCUUAUCUGCCUUCUAUGAGUAUUUCUCCCCAAGUGAUAUUUGUGUAAAUAAAUGAGGUCAGCAACCUGUGAAAACA